rnacentral:rRNA from 1 species
UACGUAGGGUCCGAGCGUUGUCCGGAAUUAUUGGGCGUAAAGGGCUCGUAGGCGGUUUGUCGCGUCGGGAGUGAAAACUCAGGGCUUAACCCUGAGCGUGCUUCCGAUACGGGCAGACUAGAGGGAUGCAGGGGGAGAACGGAAUUCCUGGUGUAGCGGUGGAAGUGCGCAGAUAUCAGGAGGAACACCGGUGGCGAAGGCGGUUCUCUGGGCAUUACCUGACGCUGAGGAGCGAAAGCAUGGGGGAGCGAACAGG